CAGUGAUCGUACGGUCUUUGUACCGGCGACAUAUCCUUCAAAUGUCUGCCUUAUCAACCGUCGAUGGUAGUUUAUGCGCCUACCAUGGUUGUAACGGGUAACGGAGAAUUAGGGUUCGACUCCGGAGAGGGAGCCUGAGAAAUGGCUACCACAUCUAAGGAAGGCAGCAGGCACGCAAAUUACCCACUCUUGGUACGAGGAGGUAGUGACGAAGAAUAACAGGACGGCCUCUUAUUGAGGCCCGUCACUGGAAUGAGUACAGUUUAAAUCCUUUAACGAGGAUCUAUUGGAGGGCAAGUCUGGUGCCAGCAGCCGCGGUAAUUCCAGCUCCAAUAGCGUAUAUUAAAGUUGUUGCGUUUAAAAAGCUCGUAGUUGAAUCUGCGCCUUUUGGUUGGCGGU
rnacentral:rRNA from 1 species